rnacentral:misc_RNA from 1 species
UCCGGUUUGUCACCGGCAGUCUGGCGUGAGUCCCCAACUAAAUGAUGGCAACACGCCACAGGGGUUGCGCUCGUUGCGGGACUUAACCCAACAUCUCACGACACGAGCUGACGACUGCCAUGCAGCAUCUGUGGUGCACCCUCGAAGGUCACACGUUUCCGUGCGCUUGCAGCACCAUGUCAAGUCCAGGUAAGGUUCUUCGCGUUGCAUCGAAUUAAGCCACAUGCUCCACCGCUUGUGCGGGCCCCCGCCAAUUCCUUUGAGUUUUAGCCUUGCGGCCGUACUCCCCAGGCGGGACACUUAACGCGUUGGCUGCGGCACGGAUAGAUUCGACUCCACCCACACCUAGUGUCCAUCGUUUACAGCGUGGACUAC